rnacentral:rRNA from 1 species
UAAGAGAGUUUGAUCCUGGCUCAGGAUGAACGCUGGCGGUAUGCCUAACACAUGCAAGUCGUACGGGAGUUUUUAACUCAAGUGGCGGACGGGUGAGUAACACGUGAGAAUUUACCUUUAGGAGGGGGAUAACAACUGGAAACGGCUGCUAAUACCCCAUAUGCUUUCGAGUGAAAUGGAAUUAUCCGCCUAGAGAGAAGCUCGCGGCUGAUUAGCUUGUUGGUAAGGUAAUGGCUUACCAAGGCGACGAUCAGUAUCUGGUUUGAGAGGACGAUCAGACACACUGGAACUGAGACACGGUCCAGACUCCUACGGGAGGCAGCAG